CGUGUUACAAUGGCAGGUACAGAGGGAUGCUACCGGGCGACCGGAUGCGGAUCUCGAAAGCCUGUCCCAGUUCGGACUGGAGUCUGCAACCCGACUCCACGAAGUUGGAUUCGCUAGUAAUCGCGCAUCAGCCAUGGCGCGGUGAAUACGUUCCCGGGCCUUGUACACACCGCCCGUCAAGCCAUGGGAGCCGGGGGCGCCUGAAGUCCGGGGCCGCGAGGACCGGCCUAGGGCGAAACUGGUAACUGGGGCUAAGUCGUAACAAGGUACC
rnacentral:rRNA from 1 species